GUUUAAGUGAAUAAGGGCGCACGGCGGAUGCCUUGGCACUAGGAGCCGAUGAAGGACGGGGCUCGCAGCGAUACGCUUUGCGGGGCUGAGCGUAAGCCAGGGUCCAGAGCUUUACGAAUGGGGGG
rnacentral:rRNA from 1 species